AUUGAACGCUGGCGGCAGGCCUAACACAUGCAAGUCGAACGGUAACAGGAAGAAGCUUGCUUCUUUGCUGACGAGUGGCGGACGGGUGAGUAAUGUCUGGGAAACUGCCUGAUGGAGGGGGAUAACUACUGGAAACGGUAGCUAAUACCGCAUAACGUCGCAAGACCAAAGAGGGGGACCUUCGGGCCCCUUGCCAUCGGAUGUGCCCAGAUGGGAUUAGCUAGUAGGUGGGGUAACGGCUCACCUAGGCGACGAUCCCUAGCUGGUCUGAGAGGAUGACCAGCCACACUGGAACUGAGACACGGUCCAGACUCCUACGGGAGGCAGCAGUGGGGAAUAUUGCACAAUGGGCGCAAGCCUGAUGCAGCCAUGCCGCGUGUAUGAAGAAGGCCUUCGGGUUGUAAAGUACUUUCAGCGGGGAGGAAGGGAGUAAAGUUAAUACCUUGACUCAUUGACGUUACCCGCAGAAGAAGCACCGGCUAACUCCGUG
rnacentral:rRNA from 1 species